UACGGAGGGUGCAAGCGUUAUCCGGAUUCACUGGGUUUAAAGGGUGCGUAGGUGGGCUGGUAAGUCAGUGGUGAAAUCUCCGGGCUUAACCCGGAAACUGCCAUUGAUACUACUGGUCUUGAAUGUCGUGGAGGUGAGCGGAAUAUGUCAUGUAGCGGUGAAAUGCUUAGAUAUGACAUAGAACACCAAUUGCGAAGGCAGCUCACUACACGAAUAUUGGCACUGAGGCACGAAAGCGUGGGGAUCAAACAGG
rnacentral:rRNA from 1 species